rnacentral:rRNA from 1 species
UACAGGGGAUACAAGUGUUAUCCGGAAUUAUUGGGCGUAAAGCGUUUGUAGGUUGAAAAAAAAGUCUUUUGUUAAAUCUUUAAGCUUAACUUAAAAACCGCAAAAGAAACUCUUUUUCUAGAGUAUAGUAGAGGUAAAGGGAAUUUUCAAAGAAGCGGUGAAAUGCGUUGAUAUUGAAAGGAACACCAAUGGCGAAAGCACUUUACUGGGUUAUUACUGACACUGAGAAACGAAAGCUAGGGGAGCAAACAGG